rnacentral:lncRNA from 1 species
GUAUGGUAUUAAAAUAUUGGAAAAACUUUAAAAAUCCUCCAUGUGGUUUCGUAGUUUUUCACUUUGUUCCCAUGUGGUUUAAAAUGUUUCAAUUUGCCCCUCCUGUGGUUUGGUUUUUAUCUUUUCGGUAGCUUUUUCGUUAAUAUUUCAUUAAAUUAUAUACAAAAAACUUCAGAUACAUAUCUAGAUUUAUCAAAUAUUACUUUAGUACCCUUUAAUUUUAACUUUAUCACUGAUUUAAGAAAAAAUAAUAAUAAAAUUGAUAAGAAAAAGAGAAUAUUUCAUCCAUACUUUCUGAUGCAGCUCAUAUAGUGUUAGGAGUCCAACUACUAUGCUAUCGAUAGCACCAAGCAUUUUGGUUUAUCAAGUUUUCUACCGUUAGAUUAACCCCCUUUGAUUAUUUUUUACCCGUUAGAUUAUACAAUUCAACCAACCACCCACUCAAUCCUAGGGGGCCCACAUCGUCCUAAUCGCAUAUUUUUCAAUCCAAUGGCUAAAAGAUUAAUAGCACCAACAACUUGGUGCUAUUGAUAGUAUUCCAGCCUAGUUCUAGUGUUAGAGUGUUUAAAAAAGGACAAUUGUUUAUAUUUUUUUUAAAAAAAAAAAAAUUCUCAUUUACCCUACUCUUAAAAAGUUAAUAUUGAAAAUAUCUUUUUUAUAUUCAAACCUAGUUCAAAUAUAUUUCUGGAGUUAAAUUCUAUUAAUGAACAGUUAGCAAUAACUAUUAUUUCUAUAAAACUACUAUUUUGUCCUUACAAAUAAACCCUUCUAUAUACCAUCACUGACUAUUCUUAUUUGUCGCCCUUAAGUUACGAGUACAAAAAGUAUUUUGAUUUUUUGCAUUUUCAAAUAUACCUUUCUACCAUCACCAACAUUUCUUAUUUGUUCUUAAGUUGAGGGCAAAAAAAGUAUUUUUUUUUUAAUUCUGGUAUAUAUUUAACUCACGUUUAACUCAAGCUAAUUUAACGGAUGGUAACAGCAGAAAUAUAUGGAGGAACAAAUGAGGGGUAUAUUGAAAAGAAAAAAAAUAUAUGAAUAAAUAAGAUAUUUUCAAAGUUUUGGGGGUAUAUAGGCAAUUAUCCCUUUUAAAAAAGUGUGACUCAGCCAAUCUGCGCUGAAAAAUUUUGCUGAGUUCAGUAAUUUUUAUGAUCUAUCUCAAAAAUCUUUAAACAAUCAUAAUUUUUCAAAAAUCUUGUAUUAUUUUCUCUCUUGAGUUCGGUCAUUUGAUAUUUCUUAUCGUUUAGGUUUAGAGAUAUAUUAAGAUUCAUGUAUCAACCCGAUAUAUAUGUAAAAUUUGGUUAAUGUAAUUAGUUUUCUAGAGUUUAAUAAUAACAUCUUCGUCUUAGUUGAAGAAUUAUAUUCUUCGUGUAUUUCUCUUU